rnacentral:lncRNA from 1 species
GCAUUUUGUGGUUUUUCUUGUUUGGGGAGUUUAGGUUCUCUUCUCUCUUCUCUGUUGUUAUUAGAGGAAAAGAGAGAAAGAAAGUCUGUUGGUUGAUCUUAUUCUCUACGGCACAUCUUUUUCAUGAGAAAGAAUUGAAAUAAUGUACCAUGGGUUGAUUCCUUGAGUCAGAAGAAACUGCGAACUAAGAGUUCAAACUUUGUAGUAUGUCAGCAAAGAAGAAAGAUCUUUUGUCCUCAGCCAUGAAGAGAACUAGUGAAUAGUUUUUCUAUUCUUUUGAGGAUUGCUCUGUUUCUCCGGCGAGGACGGGGCGGUGGCGCUUAGAGUGACUCGAGGAGAGGAGAUGGAGAGUGAUCGGACGGUUGAGGAUGAGGUGUAGAGAGAGAUCGAAGGGUGAGCAAGUGAUAAUAAUCUUGAAGAUGAACGGCGGAGAGAGAUAAGAGAGUGGUGAAGAAGCGGCGGUGGUUGAGAGGGGAUGGAGAGUGUAACUCUCCAUCGUUGUCCUAUCAUGUUAUUGUUAAUUCCCAGUUUUCACCGGACAACAAAGGAGAUUGAAUUUAUUUUUCUGUUUGACGUUUCUCCGUUUACAUGCUUAAGUACAAACGAAUCAUCAUCAUGUCUGAACGACACAUACUAACAUAAGAGAGUGAUGCUUGUGGAGCUAGCUUACUUAAGAGUUAUUAUUGUUAAGUUAGACAUUCAAAUCAUGUUCCUCACUUCUCUAUUUCUAUCGCCAUAGUUUAUCUUUUAACAAACCACCCUCUCAUGGC